UGGGGAAUAUUGCGCAAUGGGCGAAAGCCUGACGCAGCGACGCCGCGUGAGCGAUGAAGGCCUCCGGGUUGUAAAGCUCUGUGGAGAAAAAAGAAUUUCAGUGGGGUGAAUAUCCCCUUUGAUUGACGGUAUUUCUUUAGCAAGCACCGGCUAACUCUGUGCCAGCAGCCGCGGUAAGACAGAGGGUGCAAACGUUGUUCGGAAUUACUGGGCGUAAAGCGCGUGUAGGCGGCUACGCAGGUCGGGUGUGAAAGCUCUCAGCUCAACUGGGAAAGUGCAUUCGAAACCGCGAUAGCUAGAGUCUCGGAGGGGAAGAUGGAAUUCUUGGUGUAGAGGUGAAAUUCGUAGAUAUCAGGAGGAACACCGGUGGCGAAAGCGAUCUUCUGGACGAUGACUGACG
rnacentral:rRNA from 1 species